rnacentral:rRNA from 1 species
GUCGAGAAUCAUUCACAAUGGGGGAAACCCUGAUGGUGUGACGCCGCGUGGAGGAUGAAGGUCUUCGGAUUGUAAACUCCUGUCAUGUGGGAGUAAAGCCGGGUGUUAAAUGCAUGCCGGUCUGAGAGUACCACAAGAGGAAGGGACGGCUAACUCUGUGCCAGCAGCCGCGGUAAUACAGAGGUCCCAAGCGUUGUUCGGAAUCACUGGGCGUAAAGGGUGCGUAGGCGGCGCGGAAAGUCAGGGGUGAAAUCCCGGAGCUCAACUCCGGAACUGCCUGUGAUACUCCCGCGCUUGAGAACUGGAGGGGAGACCGGAAUUCACGGUGGAGCAGUGAAAUGCGUGGAUAUCGUGAGGAACACUAGUGGCGAAGGCGGGUCUCUGGACAGUAUCUGACGCUGAGGCACGAAGGCCAGGGGAGCGAACGGGAUUAGAAACCCUAGUAGUCC